CACAUUAACUUGGUCGUUAUCGGCCACGUCGAUUCCGGCAAAUCCACCACUACUGGUAAGCCAGCCACCAGAUAUACAUACCACUAGCCAGGCACCACACACUACAUAGAAACUGACUAUAACAUUACAGGUCACUUGAUCUACAAGUGCGGUGGUAUCGACCAGCGUACCAUUGAGAAGUUCGAGAAGGUAAAUAACCCUUUUUUGACCCUGUCUCAUUCGUUCUGCUGCACAUUUUUCUCUCUCCCUUUCUUCAACCCACCACAGGCGACUUUGUUGCUUGGUGGGAUGUGGCUUGGCACUCGCUUGGGCAGCAAAAUCCACCCCCCACCAACAUCAAAACAUGCAGCCAUCGCUCCAGGCAACGAUCGAGCCUCAUGUCAUGUUCAGAUUUGCUUUUUUCUGUCUUCAGGGUCGAUGCUAACAAGGUACCUGUAGGAAGCCGAAGAGUUGGGCAAGAAGUCCUUCAAGUACGCUUGGGUUCUUGACAAGCUCAAGGCCGAGCGUGAGCGUGGUAUCACCAUCGAUAUCGCCCUCUGGAAGUUCGAGACCCCCAAGUACAAUGUCACCGUCAUUGGUAUGUUUUUCUUUACCUUUCCCCUCCAUCGUCUUGCUGUGCCAUAACUAACGAGAGUAGACGCCCCCGGUCACCGUGACUUCAUCAAGAACAUGAUCACUGGUACCUCCCAGGCUGACUGUGCUAUUCUCAUCAUUGCUGCCGGUACUGGUGAGUUCGAGGCUGGUAUCU
rnacentral:misc_RNA from 1 species